rnacentral:tRNA from 1 species
GGUGGCUCAGUGGUAGAGAGCUUGCCCUGCACGCAUGAGGCCCUGGGUUCGAUUCCCCAGCACCA